CAUUCUCCCUUUUAUUUCAUUUCACCUUUUACUUUUUACAGCAUACAACGAAUUCCAAACCGCGCUUAUUUUUUUUACAGCAAACGACGAAAUCCACGAAAACGAAAACUUCAUCGAUCGAUGAUGGCAGGAAAACUCAGGGUUUUCUUGUUCCUUCUCGCAGUCGCACUUUCACUGACUUCACACUCAUCAUCCCACAACUUUACUCUCGACGACGACCCGAUUGAUUCUGAUGUUUUGGGGGCGAUAUUAGUAUCGCGAAUUUUCUUGAUUUUUUCUUACCUUUUUGUUUUUUUCUUCGAACAGGGAGUUGAAGACUUACUUCAUGGAUCGAUGAUGGCAGGAAAAUUCAUAGUUUUCUUGUUCCUCGCACUUGCACCGACUUCACACUUACAAUUCCACAACUUUAGCGUCGACGUUACUAUUGAUUCUGGUGUUCUUGGGGCGAUAUUAGUAUUGCCAAUUUUCUUGAUUUUUUCUUACCUUUUUGUUUUUUUCUUUGAACAGGGAGUUGAAGACUUACUUUAUGGAUCGAUAAUGGCAGGAAAAUUCAUAAUUUUCUUGUUCCUUCUCACAGUCGCACUUGCACCGACUUCACACUCAUCAUUCGACAACUUUAGUGUCGACGUUACUAUUGAUUCUGGUGUUCUUGGGGCGAUAUUAGUAUUGCGAAUUUUCUUGAUUUUUUCUUACUUUUUUGUUUUUUUCUUUGAACAGGGAGUUGAAGAUUUGUAUGACGAGGAGGAUUAUUCUUUACCAACAACACAUCAGCAAAUUGCUGUGCUCUCUAGCGAGGUUGAUAUUCAGGAUGAAAAUGCUGGUGGUGAUUUUACAAGUGUCUCCCUUACUUCAAGUUCAUGUUUAUCCAAACAAGGAGACAAGGAUUUUGCUACGUGGCCACAUAGGAAUGUUGAAGACCACAUAGGAAUCGACUGCAAAUCUGCUAGAGGUUCAAGUCAACAAACUAGUGGGUCCUUAGAACUGGGCAUCUCUGCUUCUUACAAUCCAAAAGUUGGAUCAGAUGCAGUCUUUGAAGUAAAUUCUGUAAAGAAGUUGGAUCCUAGGGAAUCAGAUGCUUUAGCCUUAAACCAAUCUUCUGAGUGCUGUAUUCUUGUUAAACCUAAGCAACUGAAGUUUGAUGAAAUGGAUGGAUGCAAUUCAAAUAAAGGUAGCAGUCUGCUUUCCAGGAUUAGAGAACUGUUGGGCAAUCCCUCAAUGGAUAUGGAUUCUGCUUCAUUAAAAGAUGAUAAAUCCAGUGAGCAGCAGUUGAAGUCUGCAAUGAUACGUUCUCAUGAGGAUUUUGAUGCGUGUACAAGUACAGAGACAAUGAAUAUCGAUUUGGACUUGGAUCUGAAUCCAUUGGUGGAGGAGAGUUUGCUUCCCAAGAACAGAAUGGUGAACCCUAAGGUUUCCCUGCAUGAUGCUGCUGCUGCUGUUUACUGUGAGGCAGCAUUUACUGAAGUGGAAAGAGCGGCUUCUGAAUCUGAUCAAACAAGCAAUGGUGAUGUUGAAGACUUUUAUUAUGAGGAUAUGGAUAUUUCAACCAGCACUGAUUAUGAGGAUAUGGAUAUUUCAACCAGCAUUGAUUAUGAGGAUAUGGAUAUUUCAACUAGCACUGAUUAUGAUUCGGUGACCAUAGCGGAUUAUUCUUAUCCAACACAGCAGCAAACUGACGAUUCGCUUCCUCCCUUUAAUACUUGGCAAACAAAGCAUUUUUGUUCAUCUCCUGUUGAUUUGGGAAAUCUCUGGGACAGGUCAACAUCGACUACAGAGAAUCCGUUAACAUCAUUUCUUCCACAUCCACAAAAACAAGCAGCUGCAGUUUGGCCAGGUAGGAGAGGAGACAUUAAAGUGAAGGCGUUAGUGGCAGCUAAGGCUGCAAAAAUACGCCAAGAAAAACAGGAGAAUGAGAGGAACUGGAAGAAAGAAGCAUUUCGGAUGGAGAUAGCGAGGCGCAAAAAAAGAAAAAAGCAGAAAGAAGGGAAGGAAAAAAAAAGCAGGAGGAAAUGGUUCCUAGAGGCCUGAACAUCCACAAAAAGAAAACCAUGUAAUGGUCAAUUUUGGAUUUUUUUUUUUUUUUUUUAAUUUGUGAUGAAAUGGCUUGGCCUCCUUUGCAGCAAGUUGGCAGAUGGUUAUAUAAUUUGGCUAUAAGGUCCUUGAAAGUAGUUUAUUAGGAAAAACAUUUGAUCCUAGACUUUGUAGAACAUACAACAAUAGAAAACUAGGAUUUUGUAUACUCAUGCUCCAAUGAAGCAGAAUGUCACAGCAAUUCGGCUCAAUGGAGUAUUAGUUGUUUGAUAAUAGAUGCUGCUGCAUUGCAUGCAUGUCGUUCAGAGUUUAAUAAAGAGGUAAAUGUAGAAAUUUCAUCUAUUAAAUCACUAUGUUUUAGUUCCUUAAACUUAAAUACCAAGUAAUCGUCGUCGAGGGAAUUGAAUUGAGGUAAAGGAAGGAUGACAAGAAUUCUGCUCCAGUCCUGUUGAAGAUGUUACAUACAUACAUCCACAAAAACAAAACCACAUACAUAUAUUAGCAGAAAAGAGUGGGGGAUUUUGAGCAACAGUUAAAUAAUCAUAUUCUGUUGUUACUUGUUACUCCUAAAGUAGGACUCUUCCAACUAACAAGCCAAGCCAAGCCAAGCCAAGCCAAGCCAGUUGUUGACUAUCAAACGACUGACUGUGUUGAAGUUGAAGAGAACAGGGACAUUUGGCAUAUAUAAUGAAGCAAGUAUUAUUAUGUUGGAAGCUCAAAGCUCAAAGCUCAUCUCAUGAGUUGACCAUGAGUCAAAAUUAAGUAUGGAUUACCUGUUAUGAAAAGGUGUGUUAUAAAAAGUAAAUUAAUGGGAACAGCUUGCUUAUCCAUCUUUUGUACAAGCCAAUUUCGAUCUCUAACAUGGAAUGUGGAAGGAAGGUUUGUCAUAGUACAAUGCUGCCUAUAAUGAUGUUUUAUCAUCUCAUUCUCAUCUGAGGACCCCAACCGGAUUAAGCAACCUCCGGGCCCGUUUGUCCACCUGGCUGAUCACUCCUCCCGUAUGGACACUAGGCCAUGAAAGCUGCAUAAAAAAAGGUCACGUGUCAUUUCUUAUCAUCUGUAUGUUAUAUGCUGCUGCUUUGAUAAUAUGAAAAGGGUUAGGCUAGGCUUAAAUUGUUAAAAUAUGUUUCUUAGUCGGUAGGAAAAAAGAUUACCAUUUUGCCCUUGCAAGUUUCAAACUAACUGGCAUUGAGAGUUUUGUUUUUUUUACAAUCACUUCUAAUUACCAUUAUGCCCUUGCAAGUUUCAGCUGCCAAGAAAACUAAAUGGCACCGAGUUUUUUGUUUUCCUUCAAUAUUUAGCUUGCAGUUAAUUUUUUUCUAUAUAAUUUUGAUUUUUUGUUGCAGUAGCAGUGUACAAACAUGGAAGAAGAAGAAGAAGAAGAAGAAGGAGGAGGAGGGGAGGUCUAGGGUUGGAUUCAAAUGAAAAAUUGUGUUUCUUAUGCCCUUGUAAGUAUGAUUAUGAUUUCUUCAGUUGAUUAGUUUUAUUGUGAUGUUAAAGUAUGGAUUUGAAUUAUGAAAAGUUGUGCAUGAGAAACCAAAAUUGCAGGUAAUAAUGUACUUUAUUUAGUUAAAAGUCCUCUUGCUUAUUAUUUGUCUCUUUUAAAUUCUUCUGUUGGUUGGUUAUUCCUAGCAGCUGGGUAUGUUUAAUAAUUUUUAAACCGACUCACUCAGAAACAUUUGAUUUGAUUUCAUUGUUUCAGGACAUACAUAGAGUUAUCGAAGGAGAUAAAUGAAUGAAUCUUUCAAGAAAUCAUCUCAAAAGACAUACAUAGAGAUAUCAAAGGAGAUAAAUGAAUGAAUCUUUCAAGGAGUUAUCUCUCAAGUUUUGACAAAACUAUCUUCCAGAAUCUAAUCUAGAUAAGUGUCCAUGUCCUAGAAACUAAGUUGGGUAUGGUAUAUUUAAUAAUUUUUAAAAAUUUAAUUUGACUCAGAAACAUUUGAUUUCGUUGUUUCAGGACAUACAUAGAGUUCCUGAUUUCAGUCAGUUUGUAAUACACAUUCUACUAACAGAGUGUUUCAAUCAUUCAGUAAAUAGUCUCUCUCAAUUCAGUUCUACCCUAGUCUAUAUCACACAAUGCAGUCUGUUCUAAUAAAUAAAAAUCCUUUUGCCACUUGUCAACUUCUUAGGUGUUUUGACAAAUGUCAUUUUCUCAUAUUUUUCAAUUUUUUCCUUCUACCUUCUAAAAUUGACAUGUGUAUUUUUUUUUUAAAAACAAAUAUGAUUCUCUGUGGCGCGUAAUAUGGGCUUUAUUUGAGGUCCCACAUAUCAGCAACCAAUUGAAUCUAUAACGUGUUUUCUCAAAUCAAUUGCCUUAUUUUCCUCAGACCAUUGUUGCAUUCCAAAUUCACAUCCCAUACAACAUACUUUCUGUAUCCAUUUUACUCUCACAACAUUUUUUCUUCAAUUUAGUAAACAGGAGAAUUGCUUUCAUAUUAACUCUCCCGUAAAUCAUCUCCUCAAUUUGAAUUUGAAUUUUUAAUGAAGUAAAUUGAUAGAGUUCCCAUAUAUAGGCUCUAUUUUCGAGUCGUUAAUCUCUGUUGAUACGUGAGAUCCCAAUUUUUGUGGAACAAAAUGAAUUCCAUAUUGAAAUCACUCUAUAAAUUCGAUUACUGUUCUGGCUAUUAUUCACACCUUGGUUUUCUUCUUCAAUUCAUUCGUCAUCUAGGUUUCUUCUUUAAUCUGAUGUUCUUAAUUUUUAUUAAUUGUAUUCGAUUUUUUAUUAUCAUGAAUGUGUGUUGUAUCUGAUUGCCUUCUUAACCUUGCAUUUGAUGUUGCACUCUAUGUGAUUGAUAAAAUGCCCAUGAGAUAUUUGUUCUUAUCAAAUGCUAUUACAGACUAUUGUCUGUAAUUUUGUGCUACUUACCACGUGUGUGUGUGUGUGUUUUUGUGAUUCCUAGCUUUCCUGCAUUUUGUUUGGGUUAAAUCAUAAACUUGGUUAGCUUACUCAUCCUGGAAGAAAAGAAAGAUCAACUAUUUCAUAAUAAAAAAUAGUUGAUAUCUUGGAUAUUGUAUCUAUAUCAGCAUGUUAAGAUUUGACUGUACCAUUUGGUGUAUUUUUGAGCAAACCAUGGGUUUUCACUCUCAUUUAGUUUCUUUAUGCUAUAGUUAUAUGGGAAGAAAAGUGAUUAUGCUAAAGGAAUUUUCAGCCCUUUUUCUUUUUUUGUUAUUUGUUAGUUGACAUCACUUCUAAAUAGAAAGGUACUUUCAACAAUAAUCUUUAGUCCAAAUAUCAAAUUGAGGAAAUGACUUUUAAUUUCCUUUUAUGUGAUUUUAGGUCAAAAAGUUCAUUUACUCUUUGCUACUUAGAGAUAGAUCAUUUGCACUUAUUGGAUUCAGUUUUUUACUACAACCGAAAAUUUUGAUUUUUGACUUUAGAAAUACCAAGUUUCUGGACAUAACAGCUUAUGUGCAUGGCUAUUAGUAAUAUAAUUUUGAAAAAAAUAAACCCUUUUCUUUAGGAGGGCAUGGGUUAAGUGUUGUUCCACCACAAAAGUUGAUCUUAAUUUCAAGAAACACAAUUGAAGAUCUACCUGUUGAACUUUCUUCAUGUGCUUCCCUCCUCGCCCACUUUUUAAUCCAAAUAUGAAAAGUAUCAGUGGUAAUUAAUUAUUAAAGGAUUAUUGUUCUUGCAGACUUUGAUUUUGAUUUUGAUCAAGGAACAAGUGUAAUCUUGAAGUCACUUCAACAUCUAGUGUGUGUGUGUGUUUAAAACUGGAUAGUAAUGAUUCCAUCAGAUGGGUUUGAAGCUCUACUAAAUGGUGUCUGUGGUUGCACCACACCACACCAAACUAAUAUUGCAUUGCAGGACAUACAUAGAGAUAGGGUUAUCAAAGGAGAUAAAUGAAUCAAUCUUUCAAAAAAUCAUCUGACAAAACUACCUUCCGAAUCCACCAUUUCUAAUGAAUCAAGUUCAAACCCUAUCCCACCAACCCAAACCAGAGAGUAUCAAAAUUUACAGCCAUCAUUCAAACGCUAUAAUGAUGUUUUAUCAUCUCUUCUGUAGCAGUGUACAAACUUGGAAGAAGAAGAAGGAGGAGGAGGGGAGGUCUGGCGUUGGAUUCAAAUGAAAAAUUGUGUUUCUUAUACAGACAUACAUAGAGUUAUCAAAGGAGAUAAAUGAAUGAAUCUUUCAAGAAAUCAUCUCAAGUUUUGAGAAAACUAUUUUCCAGAAUCUAAUCUAGAUAAGUGUCCAUGUUCAUGUCGUAGCAACUAAGUUGGGUAUAGUAUAUUUAAUAAUUUUUAAAAAUUUAAUAUGACUCUUUAACAUUUGAUUUUGUUGUUUCAGGACAUACAUAGAGAUAUCAAAGGAGAUAAAUGAAUGAAUCUUUCAAGGAAUUAUCUCUCAAGUUUUUGACAAAACUACCUUCCAGAAUCUAAUCUAGAUAAGUGUCCAUGUCCAUGUCCUAGCAAAAAUAGCAAUUGGGUGUGGUAUGUUUAAUAAUUUUUAAAAUUUUAAUCUGAUGCUUAAAUUGUUGUUUGAAUGUAGGUACUGUUUGUGGGAAAAGUAAUUCUGACUUGGUCCCGUGUUGAUCUUGUCGAUAGGAAUAAGUGGCUUAGUUGCCACCACUUUAGGAGCACACUUUUGUUGCAGUUUAGCUUUGCAGCUUUGUUUUGUCCUCUAUUUAAGUAUUGUAGCUUUCCUUUGUUUAGGUGUAUUCAGAAAUAAAAGAAACCUCUGUUACUUACUC